rnacentral:rRNA from 1 species
GUGCCAGCAGCCGCGGUAAUACGUAGGGGGCGAGCGUUGUCCGGAUUCAUUGGGCGUAAAGCGCGUGCAGGCGGCCUGGUAAGUCGGCCGUGAAAGCGCCAGGCUUAACCUGGCGAGGUCGGGCGAGACUGCUAGGCUGGAGGCCGGUAGAGGGCGGUGGAAUUCCGGGUGUAGUGGUGGAAUGCGUAGAGAUCCGGAGGAACACCAGUGGCGAAGGCGGCCGCCUGGGCCGGUCCUGACGCUGAGACGCGAAAGCGUGGGGAGCAAUCCGGAUUAGAUACCCUAGUAGUCC